AUACGGAGGAUCCGAGCGUUAUCCGGAUUUAUUGGGUUUAAAGGGUGCGCAGGCGGCCAUUUAAGUCAGCGGUUAAAUCGUGGGGCUCAACCCCAUUCUGCCGUUGAUACUGGGUGGCUUGAUUGCGGUCAAGGUUGGCGGAAUUCGUUGUGUAGCGGUGAAAUGCAUAGAUAUGACGAAGAACACCGAUUGCGUAGGCAGCUGACCAGACCGCAAAUGACGCUCAUGCACGAAAGUGCGGGGAUCGAACAGGAUUAGAUACCCUGGUAGUCCGCACAGUAAACGAUGAAUACUUGUUUUCGGCGAUAUAAUGUCGGAGGCAAAGCGAAAGCGAUAAGUAUUCCACCUGGGGAGUACGCCGGCAACGGUGAAACUCAAAUGAAUUGGCGGGG
rnacentral:rRNA from 1 species